rnacentral:rRNA from 1 species
CCUACGGGGGGCAGCAGUGAGGAAUAUUGGUCAAUGGGCGCGAGCCUGAACCAGCCAAGUCGCGUGAGGGAUGAAGGCUCUAUGGAUCGUAAACUUCUUUUAUAAGGGAAUAAAGUGUGGCACGUGUCCUAUUUUGUAUGUACCUUAUGAAUAAGGAUCGGCUAACUCCGUGCCAGCAGCCGCGGUAAUACGGAGGAUCCGAGCGUUAUCCGGAUUUAUUGGGUUUAAAGGGUGCGUAGGUGGCUUUUUAAGUAAGUUGUGAAAGUUUGUGGCUCAACCAUAGAAUUGCCGUUGAAACUGGGGGGCUUGAGUAUGUUAGAGGCAGGCGGAAUGCGUGGUGUAGCGGUGAAAUGCUUAGAUAUCACGAAGAACCCCGAUUGCGAAGGCAGCCUGCCAAGCCAUGACUGACGCUGAUGCACGAAAGCGUGGGGAUCAAACAGGAUUAGAGACCCCAGUAGUC